AGUCACAGAUCUAAGCAAAUUCAAACAAGAUCCAACAAAUUCUCCACUCCCUAUUUGGUUGACCCCGCUCCCUAUCCAGGGAAACUCACAAGAAUUUCAGCCAACAAUAAAGAUCGUGUUGAAAGAGUUAAAACCUGUUUCUCACCACAUAAAUCAAGGAGGGAAAGUUCCCUGAUCUCCAAAAAGAAUGUAAAACAGACAGGGUAGUUAGGGAAAGCAUAAACUUAAACUUUGGGGGAAUACGUUGGAGGGCCAUGAAGAAUGGGGACCUUCUAUAAAAUUUUAUGCAUAUAGUUUUAGUCCAUGUUAUUUUUCAACCUGAUUGUAGCAUCUAAUAACACAGUUUUACAAGACUUAAUUUCUUUCUCUCUAUUUUUUUUACACAGUACACUCAGAAAUAUAAUCAUACUUACUUUACCAGAUUUGUCCAAUAUCUAUAGCUCCUAAGUUAUCAAUCUUAGAUAGCGGCGCGGCCAACCCUGAAAUUAGAGCAGAGCGGGCACCAUUUAAUGCCACGGACACUAAUACAUUAUUUUUUCUUUUAAAUGGUUAUUUAGGGGUUUUGUUUCUAACAAACCGGGCUGCGAACCCGACCCGCGAGCACAACCUCUUUGAAUCCGUCAG
rnacentral:lncRNA from 1 species